rnacentral:lncRNA from 1 species
UUCUCUAUCGUUGACGUGGCAAUAUAAUUCCACAUAAGCUAUAUUUUAUAUAUACAUUAUUUUAUUUAUUAUUAUACAUCACAUAACACAUCACCUCUCCUAAUUCCCAAAUCCCAAUCCCUGCCGUCCCGUCUCUGAACAUCGGCGCCCCCCCACCGCCGCGAUCUGCCCCAUCGCCGCAAUCUGCUUCAACGGACCACCCCGUCUCUUUUUCCCGCCACGAUCUGCCCCCUCCCAUCUCCACACCAGACCCACCUUUCCCUUCACCGAUCUAUGAUCUGCCUCACACAUUUCUCUUCGCUGCGUCAGCAAGGGUUUUACAAAGAUCCCAGAAAUCUAAUCGUUGCUCUGACACGUAAGAUCCGGUUUUGGGUAGGGCAAGCGAUAUAACUUUGAUUGCAUAGAAAAAUGGCGACGCCUUUUGCAGCAUCAGAAAAUGUACAAUCACUGCUGCAAUACGUCUCGAUGGUAACUGAUAACAUCGUCGCUCGCUUUUUCCCCCUCCAUCGCCGUGCCUUUCAUCGCCAGACGCAUUUGUCACGCUAAUUCUCGUCGUCGGAGAUCUGCACUCCGACUGAUUCGCUGCCACAAUCCUCCAUGGUAAGUAUUCUAUUAGGAAAGAUUAAAUUUGACUAUGAUUAGUGCUCAAUUUUAGAAAGAUCAAAUUUUGAAAAGAUUUACUUCUGCCUCAAUAGUCAGUAAAUUUUUAGGAUUUAGAUUUAACAAUGGAAACUCUUUCUAUUAGGAAAGAUUACAUUUGACUAUGAUUAGUGCUCAAUUUUAGAAAGAUCAAAUUUUGGAAAGAUUUACCGAUAAUCAGCCAAUUUUAGGAUUUAGGUUUAACAAUGGAAACUUUAUAACCUACAUUUUUAGCUAUAAAUUCAUUAGUUCGAAUGAUAAAUGCUUUUAUCGGAUUUUUCGUCAAGUUGAUUUUCAUUCCCAUCAACAAUAUUAUCAUCAGCACAAAGCAAUUGUGAGUGUUUUAAUUUUAGCUUCCCUUUUCAGAAAUUGCGCUCUGAAAUUUGUUUAGGUUUUCAAUUUUAUGAGUUGAUUGGUUUAAUUUACGAAUGUGUUAGUGGUUUGAAUCAAUGUAGAGUUUGUUGCUAAUAUUGUGAGUGUUUUAACUAAUAUUGUUUCAACUUUCUAAUCAAUAUAAUUAUAUAUGUGUUUCAGUAUUUGUAUUUGAAAUCAAUAUUGCUUGCUAUCAACUUAUAAGCAUAGCUUACCUUUAUCUUAGAUUGUUUGUUGCUAAACAGCCCAAUUGGGGGCAUUAGGAAUGAAAUUUUGUGUAUAUAGGAGCAUGCCUAGGAAUAUUAGAAAUGAGUGGUUAGGAUUGACGUGGCGCCUUGCCGGCUCCAUCGAAUUUUGUUGCUGAGAAGAGUGUGGCGCCAUUAUGUGAAUAUUCAAUUGCUUUUCAAUUUCUUAUGUAUUCUUUGUUUAUCUGCAAUUGGUUAUCUUUAACUACACAAAAUCCAUGGUUACUUUAAAAAUCAUUUCCUCUUUAGGGGGUGACUAUUCGGUUAUUUCAGUUUGUUUUGGCCGUUUCUUAUUUUUCAGUUUGUAAAAGCAUUUUAUUACAACUGAUUCCAACAUACAAAUCAGGAUUUAUUUUAUCAAAUCUUACUUUCAUUUUUCUUUUUCUAUUUUUAUUUUAUGAAGGAUUUUCAUUUUUCCAAUUUGGUUAUUUCUCUCCUUAUAAUAACACUGAGAACUUGAACAUGAAUGUUCUCUUUGCUUGGAAAGUUGACAAAGCUAUUUUCUGUAUUUUUAAAUGUACAGGAUGAUUUAUAAUGAUUUUUUCACUCAGUUCGGCCUUUUCUUAUAUAUUUAACAUUGAUUGUAUGUGUGGUUGCGCACAUAGUUACUUUUCCACUCAUGUUCGUAUUGAUGAUUUUUUUAUGAUAUAUUGAUGAUAGUAUCAACA